CGCGAAAACAUUCAAAACAAAAACACUCGAAACGAAAAUAAAAUAUUCACCACCACCUGGUUUGCCAACAUCGUCUUUACAAGGAAUGUCUAGCAGUGCAUGACAGAGGCCGGUCACUCCCAUUAAGUCCAGCUGAAGAGCCUUCCCAGUUCAUAGGACAAAAUGCAGUUACACAGAUUUUAACGGUGUUGGAAACAAUGAGAGACGAGAACAGGGAAAUGAAGUGGAUGCUGCAGCGGCUCUUGGCUAGGUCAGCUUCUGAUGACGAGCCAAUGCAACUGCCAGAGAACAUCAGUCUACCAAUUGGAACACUUGAGCAAAUGGAUGAGUUUGAAGAGCAUCUUGGUGAUGAAGCUACGAUCCAUCUUUUCUAGGACUGCUGCAUAGUUCAAGCUUUUUUAUCAAAUAUAUUAAGCAAUGUUGUAAAUGUAUUUGACAGUUCUUUCUCCAUUGAUCCUAAACCAUUCCUUUAAGGCUCAUCUUCUAAGAAAGCAUACAAUCUUUUUUAUCUGGAAAUGAAAUGGUAUAUAUUCCUUUGCAAAAGAAGAAACAGCAUUCCAGUUUUUGAAGGUUUUAAAAGACAAAUAUAUAUAUAUAUCAUGUGCAAUUAUGAAAUACACUAGAAUGUAUGAAGAUAUCAAAGAUAAUAAUAUGGACUUGUUCUCGAACAAGGAUUUGCCAUUUAUUUGAGUUUUGGAUUUUUUUGCAGGGUUUUUAAUUUCUAGUUUUUAUACGCCCGUAUAAAAUACGGGACGUAUUAUGUGAAACCCCUUGGCGGGCGGCGGGCGGAAGGCAUCACUUUGUCCGGACUCUAAUUCAAAUUGUAUUCAUCCGAUCUUCACCAAACUUGGUCAGCAGUUGCAUCUAGUUGAUAUCUAGGCCAAGUUCGAAUAUGGGUCAUGCCGGGUCAAAAACUAGGUCAUAGGGUCAAUAAGUGCAUUUUCAAAGGGGCCACUUUGUCCGGACUCUAUUUCAAAUUGUAUUCAUCCGAUCUUCACCAAACUUGGUCAGCAGUUGCAUCUAGUUGAUAUAUAGGCCAAGUUCGAAUAUGGGUCAUGCCGGGUCAAAAACUAGGUCAUAGGGUCAAUUAGUGCAUUUUCAACGGCGCCACUUUGUCCGGACUCUAAUUCAAAUUGUAUUCAUCCGAUCUUCACCAAACUUGGUCAGUAGUUGCAUCUAGUUGAUAUCUAGGUCAAGUCCGAAUAUGGGUCAUGCUGGGUUAAAAACUAGGUCACUGGGUCACUUAGUGCAUUUCAAGGAUUUAGCAUGGUGUCCGCUCUCUAAUUGAAGUAUUUUUCAUCCGAUCUUCACCGAAUUCGGUCAGAAGUUGUGUCUAAAUGAUAUCUAGGUCAAGAACAAAUAUGUGUCUUGGCGGGUCAAAAAAUAGGUCACAAGGUCACUUAAUGAAUUUCAAGCGUUUAGCAUGGUGUCCGCUCUCUACUUGAAGUAGUUUUCAUCUGAUCUUCACUGAAUUUGGUCAGAAGUUGAGUCUAAAUGAUAUCUAGGUCAAGAACAAAUAUGGGUCUUGCUGGGUCAAAAACUAGGUCACUUAAUGCAUUUCAAGCAUUUAGCAUGGUGUCCGCUCUCUAAUUGAAGUAGUUUUCAUCCUGUCUUUACCAAAUUUGGUCAGAAGUUGUGUCUAAUUGAUAUCUAGGUCAAGUUCAAAUAUGUGCUGCUUAAUUUUCAAAAAUAUAUCAUUUUGCCACUCAAAUGGUAAAGCUAUCAAGUUGUCCAAAACCUUCAAACGGGCGUAUCUUGUGACAGUUUGGCACUCUUGUUAUUUAAUGCUUUCCGGUGGUUUAUAGAGAAAUAUCAGUGAAUUAAAACUGGUUCAAACAGUGAAAAUUAUCAGUGAGAAUUAUCGAUAAUUUUCAUUGUUUACUGUGAAAUGAUGUCAUUUUUUGACGAAAUGACGUCAUUAUCUCAGCAAAAUUCUUUAGUUAAACUCUUUAACAAUGUAUAUAAACGGUGAAAAAUGCAUUAAAUAAAAAGAAAAUUUGUUGGAUUUGGAGGAUUAUCGAUUUUAAUUAACUCGUGUUCAUAGAGAAUAUAUAUUUUCUAUGAUCAAUCGUGAAUUAAAAUCGAUAAUCCACCGGAUCCAACAAAUAUCCUCUAUAUAAAAUAUUUUGUUUAGUCUUGCAAGUAUGUUUUCUACAAAUGUUCUUUGAGUACAUGGUGUAUUAUUUGUAUUGGUUAAAGAUUUUAUAUGCUUUUGAGUAAUGUGUAGUACAUCAGGAAAAUACUUGAAGGUAUUCUGUAUAUGUAAUAUAUAUUUAUUAUCAAAAUAAUAGAAGUCCUUAAUUCUAUAGUUGUAUAACUGGUCAACAUAUAUAAUGUUAUAGAAAAACGUCUUAUUGUUUGAAGUUAUGUCUUUAUUGUUCCAUGAAAUAGUUUUACUGUUGGUUUGGGUUUAUAGAUUAUGAGUUUCAUUACUCCAUGCGGAUAGAACAUUAGAUAGAAACAUGUGUUUGUAAGCAACUUCAUGUAAAAGCGGAUAGAACAUUAGAUAGAAUCAUGUUUUCGUUAGCAACUUCAUGUAAAAUAUUUUUGCUGAUGUUACAUUCAAAACGUUAGGAAUCACCAUAUUAUUUUAGAAUUCUCUGGUAGAAUAGUUAACUUGGGAUCCUCCUGCUAUGUAUGUAUGUAUCCAUGUAUAUGUGUGUAAUACUUUAUGUGAAUAAAAGUUGAGAGUACUUUAAUAAA